rnacentral:rRNA from 1 species
UACAGAGCGGCAGACGGGUGAGUAACGCGUGGGAACAUACCCUCCGGUUCGGAAUAACUCGGGGAAACUUGAGCUAAUACCGGAUACGGUCGAGAGGCGAAAGAUUUAUCGCCGGAGGAUUGGCCCGCGUUCGAUUAGCUAGUUGGUGAGGUAAUGGCUCACCAAGGCGACGAUCGAUAGCUGGUCUGAGAGGAUGAUCAGCCACAUUGGGACUGAGACACGGCCCAA